GGGUGAUUAGCUCAGCGGUAGAGCGCUUCGUUCACAUCGAAGAUGUCAGCGGUUCAAAUCCGUUAUCACCCA
rnacentral:tRNA from 2 species